AUACCACUCUGGUAGGGGGAGAUACCAUGAUCAUGAAGGUGGUUUACCCAGGCGAGGCUCUGUGCCAUUGCACUGGGUUGCAAGGACUCUGCGAACCCCCAAAUGUGGGAAUCUCUCACUGCACAAUUUGUGGUAGUGGGGACUGCCCGCCUCCUGA